ACGAUCCCCAGUCCUACGAUCACGAUAGCCUGUUCUGACCUUUCGAGGAGAUAAUGGGAGAAUAUCCCCAUUAGACAAACCUGGUUGACUUGAAGCCUGGCUUGAAGAAACAUGUGAUCCAUUUUGCUCAUAAGCAUCACUUAGGGGUUCAUUACUGCCAACUGCUGCACCAGGCCUCGAAACAUCAGUCUCGGGAGUUGGCGGUGGAACUUUUGCG
rnacentral:misc_RNA from 1 species